UUUUUUUCAAACCGUCCGCACUCUUAGAAAACUGAGUGGAACAUGAAUGCGGUUGUGUGUCUGAUGUGUUUACAUCUAGGCCUAGCUUGUGCGGUUGCACGCAAAUGCAUAGCUAUGGAAAUUAUCGACGAACUUUAUGCAACAGCACACACUAACAAGGACUGUUGCGAUGCCUGCGUGUCAAUGCCCAAUUGUUACCUGUACACGUACUUUGAGAACAACUGUUACAUAGAAAUGUUUAACGGUUGGUUGUCGGAUACAGUGACUGAACAAUUCACAUUCUCCUAUCUUCUCUGUGAUUACUAUGAAUUUCAGUGUGCAGCCUAUCAGAUUGUCAAUGUCGUCCAGCCAGAGAUUGCUACUAACCAGG